rnacentral:lncRNA from 1 species
AUGACAAUAAAAAUGAAUGUUGAAAAAGAAGAUCCGUUUUAUGAAGCGAAGCGGGAAGUUAGCAUAUCGUUAAAUAAACUGCAAGGUCUAUAUAAUAAUUGGAUUAGUAUAUCUGAUAAACAUUCCAUCUUGGCAAAAGAAAAAUGUUUUUUAAUAAAGGAGGAAAUAAAAUACUUGAAUAAAGAUCUAAAUGAUUUAGAAAAUUCAGUUAAUGUUGUUAAAAAUAAUAAAAGUAAAUUUAAUAUUAGUUCUGAAGAGAUAGAAAACAGAACAAAUGAUUUAAAAAAUAUUCGUAACACUUUAAAUAAUAUAGAUAGAAACUUAAAACGCAAUACUACCACAGUUUUAAAUUGUGAUACCAGUACGAUUAGCAGUUAUGGCAAAGUUACACUAAAAGAACAAGACAACGAUUUGGAGGAAUUAGCAGAAUCGGCAGAGAGGUUACAUAACGCCGCCAUUACAAUAAAUGCAGAAUUAAAAGACCAACAAAGGUAAGUACAUAUAUAUAUAUAUAUAUAUAUACAUAUACAUAUAAACAAAAAAAUAUAUAACUUAUAAUCCAUUCAUAUUUUUUCAGGAGAUUUAUUCCUUUAUUUUUAUUUUUUACGCAUAAUUUUUUUAUUUUCUUUUUUUUUUUUUUUUACACCAUUACAGGUUACUCGAAGAACUAGAAACUGAAAUGGAUUAUUCAAGUUAGGAGCAAGAGCGAUUGUUUUUAAUAUUAUUUUGUGAUACAUAAAUAUUUUCAUAUGUUAUGUAUAUCACACGAAC